CUUCGGAACGCUGACGACCGGCAGACGGGUGAGUAACGCGUACGCAAUUUACCUUUAACAAAGGAAUAGCCCCGGGAAACUGGGAUUAAUACCUUAUAGUAUCUUAAUACCGCAUGGUAUAAAGAUUAAAACUUCGGUGGUUAGAGAUGAGCGUGCGUCCCAUUAGCUUGUUGGUAAGGUAACGGCUUACCAAGGCAACGAUGGGUAGCUGGUCUGAGAGGAUGACCAGCCACACGGGCACUGAGACACGGGCCCG
rnacentral:rRNA from 1 species